AGCAUAAAAAUGUACGUCGUCGUACUGGGCUGCCAGUGGUACAUCUGUCUUCCCGGAGUUUCACCAAGGACUGCAACAAGUGUGUGUGCAGGAGUUGAUCCUGCUCUUGGCUGUGGAUUUGGGUCAACAUCGGGAGAAAACCAGAUCACAGAUCCCAUUAGCAAAGCCCCUUCAAGCUGCUGUGGUCACAGAAAUGUGUGAUCUUACUCCUAACACUGGCAGGGGGCUACAUCCUUUCCUGGAAGGCUCCUGCUGUUGCCAGCAGUGAGGCCACUUGUCCCGUGUCAGACCAGGAUGGAGGGACCCGAGUGGGGAAGGCCACAGCCAGCAGGUGGCCGUCUGUGUGAAACCAGAGUGUCCCACGCCGGGCAGGAUCAGAAGGCAGGAGGACAGGCUGGAUCUCUCGAGGUGGAGGAACACACCGUCUGGUAGCUACUGGUAACUACUGGACUGCCAAGAUUUCAGUCUGCUCCUUUCAAUGGAGCUUUCAUUCCUGGGCUUAGAGAAAGGUUCUUCUCUUCUGCUUUUUUCUUCUCUCUUUUUCAGAGGCAAGUGGGGAAGCUAAAGGGGGAGAACAGACAUCUCAUCUGCAGGGCAGGACAGAGAGCCAGCAAGAGAAGAAAGGGAACAAAACCAAAGCACAGAAAAGUGGCAGCUUUGAGGGCUUUCAAGUACCACUGUCAGGAAGAAAAAGAAAAAGAAAAAAAAAAAAAAAAAAAAAAGAUUUCUUGUGGCAGUGAGGUGUUCUACAUUGAAAAAAGAGGCUGGGAUGAAAACACUGACUGGAGAGGAAGGAAGGGCACGCGGAGACCUCUUCCCUCUGCAAGACCCCAACCAGCAGCACCCCAGCACCUCUGUCCAGCCUGCAGCACCGCAGAGUGCUUGCAGCACCGCAUCCCUUUGGCUGGGGCC